UCCUUAUGUAAAAGGUUUAGUUUUCACAGAUGAAGAGUUUCUUAGAUCUGAAAUUAUGUCACAGAAGAAGAUCAACCGUAUCAAAUGUUGGGGACUUUAACACAUCUGAAGAAGCGAACAAAGUUAAAUCAGACAUAUAAUCUGAGUUCAGAUGUAAUGGUGGUGCUGCUCCGUGGUGAUACAAUUAGCUGAAGAAAUAAGUUUAUUAAAAGUGUAGCAUUACACUUGCGUCUUACAAAGAAAGUUGCAGUUUCUAGGUGGUUGAAUGAGUAAGGAAUAUUGAUAGUGUGAUUCGGCUUGCAGAUAGGAAGGGAUUGAACAUGAACCAAUACUACCACCCAAAAAGAUAAGUAUCUUUUUAUACUUUACCAGAAUUUAAAUAUAUAGUAACUUACUGUUAUAUUAUGUUCUUUUGACAGGAAAAUAUGCGUAUUACAUGGUACAUCCAAAUGGAAAUUAAGAAGCAAAUUGAUGACAGCGACUAUUAAGAUAACUUUCUUCAGUGCAUUUAAUCACCUCUGGUAUUUCCGGGUUAAUGAUCAUUCGAGAGGCAUCAAAGGAAUUAGAGAUUUGUAGUUCUCCUGUCAUUUUAAUAAUCCAGCAGUGUAUAUGCAGAAUGGAGAAUAUCGGUUAAGUUUCCCCAAAUGCAGCAUGGUAUUCUUGAAUCACUAUAGGGUGGCGCCAGUCAAAAAGCGAGGCAUGGUUUGUUGUGCGAUAAGCUCCUCCUGCAGGCCUAACAUGGAAAUUUCGGAUGUAGCGCCAUGCUCCAACCGGAAGAAGGCUUCCUUUACUCUCAAUGGCAUAGGGUUUGCAAGAAAAAAGAAGAUGAUUUCGGUGGGGUUUUAAUGGUAUAGGAUGUUUCAUCAUGAAGAUAAUUUUGAUGGGCUGAAUAUUCAUUCAUGUUUGGAUUUAAAGAAAAAAAGCCUAGACUUAAUCGUAGAUGGGCUUAAAAACGAUAUGAAUAUGUUUAAAAAAAUCGUAGGGUUGAGAUUGAUUUUAAAAAACUGUCGACAUUUAAUUUUUUAAAAGGAAGAAAAGGCAGUGGCAUUUGGUUGUAAA